GAAGUGGCAUGUCAGGGCUGGGAGCAGUGCCAGGCUAUCCUGGAGGACUCAGUGCCCACCCCACCAUCCUCAGCACGUGUGCUUUGUCCAGUGGCAAGGUGGCCCCCUUACAUGUGCAAGCCCCUCAGCCCCACUGAGAAGGGGGAGGGAGGGAAGGGCCCAGAGCAGAGCUCAUGGAGCUUCAUCCCCAGGAGUGCCCCCUUCUGACCUCCAGUUCUGCAGGUGAUGAUGAGGGGGUCACACAGACACCCCCAGUGACAGGCAGGGACUGGCACAUUGUCGCUCAAACAAAAUUCGGGUUGUGUGUGAAAGGCUCAUGGGGUGCAUGUUGGGCAGGUGCCUCGUGGCGCCAACAGCACGAAGGCACUGAGCUGGGUUAUUCUGUCAAUCUGGGUGGUGAGGUUGACCUGUUGACCUAUCUCAGCCUGUAAUUUUUUUAUUGAGACAGGAACUUGCUAUGUUACCCAGGCUGGUCUGGAACUCCUGGGCUCAAGUGAUACCCCUGCCUCAGCCUUCCAAAGUGUUGGGAUACCAGGCGUGAGCCACAGUGCCCAGCCCCCUAUUUAUUACUUGUUUGGGUUUCCUAAAGAUAUCAUAAGCUAUUUUAGGCUGGGUGCAAAAGAGCAAGUGUCCUGCCACAUGACUUAUGCAAAUCUAGAGAGCAGGGCCAGCCACUCAGCUCUGAUUCCAAUUUUGUCCCUUAGGGGCUUUGUCUAAACCCUGGAACCAAAACUCAUCCAGCUGCUUUCAUUUGCUCAAUCCCAAAUGAAUGACAAUGUUAUCUUUUUGUGUUUUGAUGGAGCCGAGUGAAUAAAAAAAAAGACUGUGAGUGCAUCGAAUAGGAUGUAAGGCCAUAUUUUUAAUGAAAUUAUUAACAUGGGACAAAACUUCAUCAGGUUGCACAUUGAACAGAUAAAAUCCCCUUGGGUCUGAGCCAUUACCUUGGAAUCAGAACACGGGCAUUUCCUUGGUGUUCCCCUUGGCGGCAGCCGCCUGCUCUCAGCCUGAGGCAGGUGCAGGGAGCCUGCUGGUAAUCGGGACACCCUGCAGAGCUGGGGUUGCUGUAGCAACCAGAUGCUGCCUGGAGGGCGGAAUUUUAAAAUAGCUAUAAUAGUUUUUUUCACAUUCUGUCACUUCCCCAGUGCUGCAUCAUACUGCUGAGGUGGGCCAUGCGGGGACACAGGGGCCCUUGGGUGGCAGCUUCUGUGGGUGUUGGAAGUGGGAAG
rnacentral:lncRNA from 1 species